UAACAUUGGUUUGCAAGUGAGAAACCCCAGGGCCAGCACACUCAGUGGGCAGCUACAGACAAUGUCAGAGCACCACCACCCUGCCCCAGCACAGCUGAUCCCCCACGGAGGGUGGAGGUUAGUGGUAAGUGGUCAGAGCCAAUCCUUGCAGCUGGCUGGCCUGGAUAAAUCCCUCCCUUUAAUCUGCCAACAGCAACCAAGUCUCAGCUACAAGAGGAAGGUGUACUCAGCCAACAC